UAGGAAUCUUCCACAAUGGGCGAAAGCCUGAUGGAGCGACGCCGCGUGAGGGAUGAAGGCCUUAGGGUUGUAAACCUCUAAAAGAGGGACGAUAAUGACGGUACCUCUUGAAUAGCACCGGCUAACUCCGUGCCAGCAGCCGCGGUAAUACGGAGGGUGCAAGCGUUAUCCGGAUUCACUGGGUUUAAAGGGUGCGUAGGCGGGCAGGUAAGUCAGUGGUGAAAUCUUCCGGCUUAACCGGAAAACUGCCGUUGAUACUAUUUGUCUUGAAUAUUGCGGAGGUAAGCGGAAUAUGUCAUGUAGCGGUGAAAUGCAUAGAUAUGACAUGGAACACCAAUUGCGAAGGCAGCUUACUACACAAUGAUUGACGCUGAUGCACGAAAGCGUGGGGAGCGAACA
rnacentral:rRNA from 1 species